rnacentral:tRNA from 1 species
GAGGGUAUAGCUCAGUGGUAGAGUGCAUGCUUAGCAUGCACAAGGUCCUGGGCUCAAUCCCCAGUACCUCCA